AAUGGAGCGAGAUAGAUAUUUUUAACCGACUUCCAAAAAGGAGGAGGUUCUACGUUCGGCUGAUUCCGUCAAUUAUGGACCGAUUUUGAAAAUUCUUUUUUUGUUUUGUAGGGUUUACUUCCAGGGUGGUCCCAUUUUUUUCAUGUCAGGAUCUGAUGAUGGCAUCCUGGAGAAAUUGAGAGGAACUUUCGAAAGUUGUAGAGACGGCUAGUACGUUUGUUAGUGUUUCCAUAAGGUAUUUUAAACCACUACAACUUUAUGAAGGUUUGGAGUUGGUCUGAUGAUGGAGCCGAAACACAGACCAUGGAACUCGUCAAGGAUUUACAGCAGUCACCUUUUGUUUGGACUUGAUUAAUUUGUAUUGAUGAGUACUUUCCACCUAUAUGGGUUGUGACUGUAUUAAGGGUCUGGUGAUGAAGACGAGGGACAGUGAAGAGAACUCCUCGACGGUUCACAGUAGCUACCUUGUGUUUGGACUUGAUAAAUUUGUAUUGAUGAGAACUUACCACCUAGAUGGAUUGUGACUGUAUUAAGGGUCUGAUGAUGAAGACGAGGGACAGUGAAGAGAACUCCUCGACGGUUCACAGUAGCUACCUUGUGUUUGGACUUGAUAAAUUUGUAUUGAUGAGAAAUUUCCACCUAGUAGGAUUGUGACUGUAUUAAGGGUCUGGUGAUGAAGACGAGGGACAGUGAAGAGAACUCCUCGACGGUUCACAGUAGCUACCUUGUGUUUGGACUUGAUAAAUUUGUAUUGAUGAGAACUUACCACCUAGAUGGAUUGUGACUGUAUUAAGGAUCUGAUGAUGAAGACGAGGGACAGUGAAGAGAACUCCUCGAUGGUUCACAGUAGCUACCUUGUGUUUGGACUUGAUAAAUUUGUAUUGAUGAGAACUUUCCACCUAGAAGGAUUGUGACUGUAUUAAGGGUCUGGUGAUGAAGACAAGGGACAUUGAAGAGAACUCCUCGACGGUUCACAGUAGCUACCUUGUGUUUGGACUUGAUAAAUUUGUAUUGAUGAGAACUUUCCACCUAGAUGGAUUGUGACUGUAUUAAGGGUCUGAUGAUGAAGACGAGGGACAGUGAAGAGAACUCCUCGACGGUAGCUACCUUGUGUUUGGACUUGAUAAAUUUGUAUUGAUGAGAACUUUUCACUUAGAUAGGUUGUGACUGUACACACGCAGUGGGUAUGCUAACACUAAAAAUAAAAAAAUAAAAAUUUUAAUAAAAAAAAUUCAACCGACUUCCAACUCAAAAAAUAACUUUAACUAAAAAGCAAAAAAUAACAUCCUACCUAUGUGCUACCUUCUGAUCAGUAUGAAGGCGGUGCCAAGCCAGUGAUGAUUUAAUUAAAUACGUUUAAACUACAAAAUUUCUUUGGUUUUUCCAGAAACAGCUUUAAUUAAAACACGACACUAGCUUGGCACCGCCUUCAAACUGAUCAGAAGGUAGCACAUAGGUAGGAUGUUAUUUUUUGCUUUUUAGUUAAAGUUAUUUUUUGAGUUGGAAGUCGGUUGAAUUUUUUUUAUUAAAAUUUUUUUUUAGCCAUUGUGUAAAGAGGUUAGACAUAUUUUACAUGACAACAUCAAUUAUAUCAGUUGUGACCAAAUUAUCUUUUGUUUUUAGUGACCAAAAAUGGCUAUUGUUGUGGUUCCGGUGUAACGGUAUUCAAUAUAUUACGGAAAUAAAAACCAAUAAGCUUGUGAAUCGCAAAAUAAAUUAAAUAUUAUACAAUGGUGAAGUGCGCAGUUGUUGCCUGCACCAACAAAACCCAAACAAAACUAGCGGGAAAUUCAUUUCACAAAUUUCCAAAAAAUCAUGAUUUAAGACAAAAAUGGCUAAACAGCAAUAACAGGCCUGAUUUCAAUCACGAUACAGCUGCAUAUAUUGUAGUGAUCAUUUUAAGAAGGAUCACAUUAAUUAUAAUAAAUAUAAUAUAUUUUUUUUUACUGUGUCCAAUAGUGUAAGAGAAAGAUAUAAUUCACAAAUUUGAAAAAAGAUUUUGCUGAAUUUAUCACCUGAGCAACAAGUAAGACAACCCUUGCAAGAAGUGAAUCUUAAUCUGUUAUCAGAGAGUCAUGACAAUGCCGUUUCCCAAAAUGGAAUACAAGAUAUAAUGGUUUCAUCUACUUAUCAGUCAGUCAGUACACCAAACGUACAAAUAGUAACGGCUGGUUCAAUUAAGGACGUUUUGGCUCGUAUUGUCAAAAACAUAUUUAAAAACUAAAUUUUUCUUGUAAUAAUGUCUCAAAAACAUAUGAAAAAAAAUUUUAUCUAGUAGAACGAUAAUCAAAUAUUUAAGACCAUUUAUAAAAAAAAGCUGUCAAGUAGCCUAUUACUUUUUGAUAUUUAUAACGUAUAACGUUGUAUCAAAAAUUGUAAGU